UACGUAGGGUGCAAGCGUUGUCCGGAAUUAUUGGGCGUAAAGAGCGUGUAGGCGGUUCGGUAAGUCGGCUGUGAAAGUCCAGGGCUCAACCCUGGGAUGCCGGUCGAUACUGCCGGACUAGAGUUCGGGAGAGGAGAGUGGAAUUCCCAGUGUAGAGGUGAAAUUCGUAGAUAUUGGGAAGAACACCGGUGGCGAAGGCGGCUCUCUGGACCGAGACUGACGCUGAGGCGGCGAAAAGCGUGGGGAGCAAACAGG
rnacentral:rRNA from 1 species